rnacentral:rRNA from 1 species
GAACGGGUGAGUAACACGUGGGAAACCUACCUCUUAGCAGGGGAUAACAUUUGGAAACAGAUGCUAAUACCGUAUAACAAUGACAACCGCAUGGUUGUUAUUUAAAAGAUGGUUCUGCUAUCACUAAGAGAUGGUCCCGCGGUGCAUUAGCUAGUUGGUAAGGUAAUGGCUUACCAAGGCAAUGAUGCAUAGCCGAGUUGAGAGACUGAUCGGCCACAAUGGGACUGAGACACGGCCCAUACUCCUACGGGAGGCAGCAGUAGGGAAUCUUCCACAAUGGGCGAAAGCCUGAUGGAGCAACGCCGCGUGUGUGAUGAAGGGUUUCGGCUCGUAAAACACUGUUGUAAGAGAAGAAUGACAUUGAGAGUAACUGUUCAAUGUGUGACGGUAUCUUACCAGAAAGGAACGGCUAAAUACGUGCCAGCAGCCGCGGUAAUACGUAUGUUCCAAGCGUUAUCCGGAUUUAUUGGGCGUAAAGCGAGCGCAGACGGUUAUUUAAGUCUGAGGUGAAAGCCCUCAGCUCAACUGAGGAAUUGCUUUGGAAACUGGAUGACUUGAGUGCAGUAGAGGAAAGUGGAACUCCAUGUGUAGCGGUGAAAUGCGUAGAUAUAUGGAAGAACACCAGUGGCGAAGGCGGCUUUCUGGACUGUAACUGACGUUGAGGCUCGAAAGUGUGGGUAGCAAACAGGAUUAGAUACCCUGGUAGUCCACACCGUAAACGAUGAGUGCUAGGUGUUUGAGGGCUUCCGCCCUUAAGUGCCGCAG